rnacentral:rRNA from 1 species
GACGAACGCUGGCGGCGUGCCUAAUACAUGCAAGUCGAACGCACUCUCGUUUAGAUUGAAGGAGUUUGCUCCUGAUUGAUAAACAUUUGAGUGAGUGGCGGACGGGUGAGUAACACGUGGGUAACCUGCCCUAAAGUGGGGGAUAACAUUUGGAAACAGAUGCUAAUACCGCAUAAAACCUAACACCGCAUGGUGUAGGGUUGAAAGAUGGUUUCGGCUAUCACUUUAGGAUGGACCCGCGGUGCAUUAGUUAGUUGGUGAGGUAAAGGCUCACCAAGACCGUGAUGCAUAGCCGACCUGAGAGGGUAAUCGGCCACACUGGGACUGAGACACGGCCCAGACUCCUACGGGAGGCAGCAGUAGGGAAUCUUCCACAAUGGACGAAAGUCUGAUGGAGCAACGCCGCGUGAGUGAAGAAGGUUUUCGGAUCGUAAAACUCUGUUGUUGGAGAAGAAUGUAUCUGAUAGUAACUGAUCGGGUAGUGACGGUAUCCAACCAGAAAGCCACGGCUAACUACGUG